AAAUCAGAUAUGAAAUACAUUUGAAUUCAAUUCUAACACCUCCCAUAACAAUACUGUGAUUGUUACUAAAAAGUAAAGACUACCACACCAUCCAAGAACUCUUUUCUGGGAUUUAAACAGACUUCUGGAUUUAGGUAUCUUAGAAAAAUAAAAUUAGUUAAGAACCCAUGAGUAUUAACUAUUUAUUUAUCAAUAACAAUCGGAAAAAACAAAAAACAAAUAUUUCCUUUUCAAUAAAG
rnacentral:misc_RNA from 1 species